CCUACGGGGGGCUGCAGUGGGGAAUAUUGGACAAUGGGGGCAACCCUGAUCCAGCCAUGCCGCGUGUGUGAAGAAGGCCCUCGGGUUGUAAAGCACUUUCAGUGAGGAAGAACGCCUGGUGGUUAAUACCCAUCAGGAAAGACAUCACUCACAGAAGAAGCACCGGCUAACUCCGUGCCAGCAGCCGCGGUAAUACGGAGGGUGCGAGCGUUAAUCGGAAUUACUGGGCGUAAAGCGCGCGUGGGUGGCUUGAUAAGCCGGUUGUGAAAGCCCCGGGCUCAACCUGGGAACGGCAUCCGGAACUGUCAAGCUAGAGUGCAGGAGAGGAAGGUAGAAUUCCCGGUGUAGCGGUGAAAUGCGUAGAGAUCGGGAGGAAUACCAGUGGCGAAGGCGGCCUUCUGGACUGACACUGACACUGAGGUGCGAAAGCGUGGGUAGCAAACAGGAUUAGAUACCCGUGUAGUC
rnacentral:rRNA from 1 species